UACGUAGGGUGCGAGCGUUCAUCGGAAUUACUGGGCGUAAAGUGUGCGCAGGCGGCGUCGCAAGUCGAGUGUGAAAUCCCCGGGCUUAACUUGGGAAUUGCGCUCGAAACUACGGUGCUGGAGUGUGGCAGAGGAAGGUGGAAUUCCACGUGUAGCGGUGAAAUGCGUAGAUAUGUGGAGGAACACCGAUGGCGAAGGCAGCCUUCGGGGCCAACACUGACGCUCAUGCACGAAAGCGUGGGGAGCAAACAGG
rnacentral:rRNA from 1 species